rfam:Donghicola sp. KarMa genome assembly, contig: KarMA_contig62
GGAUCGGGAGGCUGCCGGUGGGACGGUGGCCAGGCAUGGAUCCAGAACACGCUGUCUCUUGGGUGUGCGACCGGGGCCCGACGGUGCGCGCA